AUUGAACGCUGGCGGCAGGCCUAACACAUGCAAGUCGAGCGGAGCGGCGGACGGGUGAGUAAUGCCUAGGUAUCUGCCUGGUCGUGGGGGAUAACGUCCGGAACCGGGCGCUAAUACCGCAUACUAUCAGAUGAGCCUAGGUCGGAUUGGGUUGUUGGUGGGGUAAAGGCCUACCAGGGCGACGAUCCGUAACUGGUCUGCGAGGAUGAUCAGUCACACUGGAACUGAGACACGGGCCAGACUCCUACGGGAGGCAGCAGUGGGGAAGAUUGGACAAUGGGCGCAAGCCUGAUCCAGCCAUGCCGCGUGUGUGAAGAAGGUCUUCGGAUUGUAAAGCACUUUAAGUUGGGAGGCGUUACCAGCAGAAUAAGCACCGGCUAACUUCGUGCCAGCAGCCGCGGUAAUUC
rnacentral:rRNA from 1 species